UACGUAGGGGGCAAGCGUUGUCCGGAAUCAUUGGGCGUAAAGCGCGCGUAGGCGGCCCGAUAAGUCCGCUGUGAAAGUCAAAGGCUCAACCUUUGAAUGCCGGUGGAUACUGUCGGGCUAGAGUCCGGAAGAGGCGAGUGGAACUCCUGGUGUAGCGGUGGAAUGCGCAGAUAUCAGGAAGAACACCGAUAGCGAAGGCAGCUCGCUGGGACGGUACUGACGCUGAGGCGCGAAAGCGUGGGGAGCGAACAGG
rnacentral:rRNA from 1 species